GUCUUUACGGAGAAAGCUUUAUGCACCAUUGGAUGAGCUGCACUUGAUUAGUUUGUUGGUAGGGUAAUGGCCUACCAAGACUGUGAUCAAUAGCUGAUUUGAGAGGAUGAUCAGCCACAUUGGGACUGAGACACGGCCCAAACUCUACGGGAGGCAGCAGUGGGGAAUCUUGCACAAUGGAGGAAACUCUGAUGCAGCGAUGCCGCGUGAGUGAAGAAGGCCCUUGGGUUGUAAAGCUCUUUCGUCGGGGAAGAAAAUGACUGUACCCGAAUAAGAAGGUCCGGCUAACUUCGUGCCAGCAGCCGCGGUAAUACGAAGGGACCUAGCGUAGUUCGGAAUUACUGGGCUUAAAGAGUUCGUAGGUGGUUGAAAAAGUUAGUGGUGAAAUCCCAGAGCUUAACUCUGGAACUGCCAUUAAAACUUUUCAGCUAGAGUAUGAUAGAGGAAAGCAGAAUUUCUAGUGUAGAGGUGAAAUUCGUAGAUAUUAGAAAGAAUACCAAUUGCGAAGGCAGCUUUCUGGAUCAUUACUGACACUGAGGAACGAAAGCAUGGGUAGCGAAGAGGAUUAGAUACCCUCGUAGUCCAUGCCGUAAACGAUGUGUGUUAGACGUUGGAAAUUUAUUUUCAGUGUCGCAGCGAAAGCGAUAAACACACCGCCUGGGGAGUACGACCGCAAGGUUAAAACUCAAAUGAAUUGACGGGGACCCGCACAAGUAGUGGAGCAUGUGGUUUAAUUCGAAGAUACGCGCAGAACCUUACCAACACUUGACAUGUUCGUCGCGACUCUAAGAGAUUAGAGUUUUCGGUUCGGCCGGACGAAACACAGGUGCUGCAUGGCUGUCGUCAGCUCGUGUCGUGAGAUGUUGGGUUAAGUCCCGCAACGAGCGCAACCCUCACUUUUAGUUGCCAUCAUUUAGUUGGGCACUCUGAAAGAACUGCCAGUGAUAAGCUGGAGGAAGGUGGG
rnacentral:rRNA from 1 species